rnacentral:lncRNA from 1 species
GAGAAGAAAGAUUUCUGAAAUAACCCUCUCCACAAGUUAGAGUCUUUGGUUUCAAAAAUCUAAAUCAUUUAGAUGUUCUCAGCCUCGCCAAUUAUACCACCUACAAACAUAUUUGGUAUCAAAGUUAAACUACAAUAUUUUUACAUAGCGUGAACGAUGCAUGAACUGACGCAGUAACCUCAUGGAUUUAUUCAUUAUUUUUGCUUUUGGCAAGUUUUUCAGCUUUAUAGAUGCUUUGAUGCAGUCCUUGAUCCUUGGUGUUUCCUUCUUUAAAUAGUACGUUACAUAUCGAGUUCCUCUCUUCUAUCUCCCAAACCUGUCCGAACCAUGGUGGUUUUUCCUCGAUCAUUCUCUUCCCUUUAGUUUCUU